rnacentral:rRNA from 1 species
UGGGGAAUAUUGGACAAUGGGGGAAACCCUGAUCCAGCGACGCCGCGUGACUGAAGAAGUAUUUCGGUAUGUAAAGGUCUAUCAGCAGGGAAGAAAAUGACGGUACCUGACUAAGAAGCCCCGGCUAACUACGUGCCAGCAGCCGCGGUAAUACGUAGGGGGCAAGCGUUAUCCGGAUUUACUGGGUGUAAAGGGAGCGUAGACGGCGAUGCAAGUCUGGAGUGAAAGCCCGGGGCUCAACCCCGGGAUUGCUUUGGAAACUGUGUUGCUAGAGUGCAGGAGAGGUAAGUGGAAUUCCUAGUGUAGCGGUGAAAUGCGUAGAUAUUAGGAGGAACACCAGUGGCGAAGGCGGCUUACUGGACUGUAACUGACGUUGAGGCUCGAAAGCGUGGGGAGCAAACAG